GUUUUUUUAAUUUUAAUCGGUUCUUUUUUCACGGUUUGGUUUUUUUGAUUAUUUUUUAUUUUUUUUUCAGUUUUCUCGGUUUAAUCGGUUUUUUGUUUUUUUUUUCUCACCCCUAAUUAAGACUGGACAUUACUUAGAGUUGUUGACAUUGAUAUAUAUUAUGUUCUUUUAUUUAUGGAAGGAAAUAGUUGUUCUUAUAAAUUGAGAAAUGAAGGACACUUAGAACUAAUAUGUAAGUGCUUGUCAGAUGACACAUGAUAGUUAUGUAAGUGAUCUUUAGACUUGAGAUCACUAAGUUAGCUUA
rnacentral:lncRNA from 1 species